AUGGGUAGCUCCAAUGUUAAGGC
rnacentral:piRNA from 1 species